CUACGGGAGGCAGCAGUGGGGAAUUUUGGACAAUGGGGGCAACCCUGAUCCAGCCAUGCCGCGUGAGUGAAGAAGGCCUUCGGGUUGUAAAGCUCUUUCGGCGGGGAAGAAAUGGCAACGGCUAAUAUCCGUUGUUGAUGACGGUACCCGCAUAAGAAGCACCGGCUAACUACGUGCCAGCAGCCGCGGUAAUACGUAGGGUGCGAGCGUUAAUCGGAAUUACUGGGCGUAAAGCGUGCGCAGGCGGUUUCGUAAGACAGACGUGAAAUCCCCGGGCUCAACCUGGGAACUGCGUUUGUGACUGCGAGGCUAGAGUACGGCAGAGGGGGGUAGAAUUCCACGUGUAGCAGUGAAAUGCGUAGAGAUGUGGAGGAAUACCGAUGGCGAAGGCAGCCCCCUGGGUUAGUACUGACGCUCAUGCACGAAAGCGUGGGGAGCAAACAGGAUUAGAUACCCCGGUAGA
rnacentral:rRNA from 1 species